rnacentral:lncRNA from 1 species
UUCUUCUGCAUCUAGGUCAAACUCAUUUAAGCUUUUAAAAUUAUUUCAUGGAAUUUUUCUAGCAGUCAACAAUAAUGGCAGAAGAUCCAUGAUCAACUCAUAAAUUAAAUUUUUGACUUUUGAAUGAUUUUACACAAAAAUCUAUUUAGUUGGUUUGAAGACUUACUAGAAACUCCACCAAAACAUAGGCUAUUAUAAUUUCACCACA